rnacentral:rRNA from 1 species
ACAUGCAAGUCGGCUGGAAUUCUUCUUCGGAAGAUAGUACGGUGGCGGACGGGUGAGUAACGCGUAAAGAAUUUGCCCUUCAGACUGGGACAACUAACCGAAAGGUUAGCUAAUACCGGAUAUUAUGAGACCUUGGCAUCAAGGACUUAUGAAAGCUAUAUGCGCUGAAGGAGAACUUUGCGUCCCAUUAGGUAGUUGGUAGGGUAAUGGCCUACCAAGCCGACGAUGGGUAGCCGGCCUGAGAGGGUGAACGGCCACAAGGGGACUGAGACACGGCCCUUACUCCUACGGGAGGCAGCAGUGGGGAAUAUUGGACAAUGGACCAAAAGUCUGAUCCAGCAAUU